rnacentral:rRNA from 1 species
GACGAACGCUGGCGGCGUGCUUAACACAUGCAAGUCGAACGGCAACGCCCUGCUUUUGUGGGCUGCUCGAGUGGCGAACGGGUGAGUAACACGUGAGUAACCUGCCCUACACUUUCGUAUAACUUCAGGAAACUGGGCCUAAUACCGUAUAGCAGCUCCUGCUCCAUUGUGGGCGUUGGAUCGUUUCGGCGGUAGGGGAUGGACUCGCGGCUUAUCAGCUUGUUGGUGGGGUAGUGGCUUACCAAGCCUUUGGCCGGUAGCCGGCCUGUGAGGGUGACCGGGCACAUUGGGACUGAGAGACGGACCAGACUCGUACGGGAGGCAGCAGUGGGGAGUAUGACACAAUGGGCGGGAGUCUGAUGCAGAGACGCCGCGUGCGGGAUGACGGCUUGCGGGUUGUGAACCGCUGUAGCUUGUGACGAAGCGUGAGUGACGGUAAUGGGUAAAGAAGCACCGGCUAACUACGUG